UGCGUACGUGUGUGUGAGGAGGGCUUUAUAAUAAAACUACAGUCCUGCUUGUCAGCUUUAAACCAUUGUCAACCCAGACGCACAGCAGCAGCAGCAGCAGCCUGGUGGUGUUUAAUUUCACUGCUCCAGCAUGACCUCAGACAUUACCACAGACUUGGAUCUGGAGCUGGACGAGUUGCUGCAGGAGUUCCAGGAUGUGGUGGAGGAGCUGAAGGCCCCUUCUCAGAGCAAACCUCAUGCUUACCAGCACGUCUUGCAGGAGGCCAAAAGUCGCACAGGGCUGGGGGACGACAGUGGAGUUGAGGACUCGGAUUACAGCAGCGAAGCUUCUUUGGGAAACAGUUUGAACACCAGCGAGGAGGAGCUCCACACAGCAGGCAUAACGCUGGCACCGAAAGCCAAGCUGGGAGACACAAGGGAACUUGAGAGUUUUAUCGACAUGUUGGACCAAGAACUUGCAGAGAUGUGAACAGAGAGAGAGCGAAACAGAGCCACGUAGAGGGGGGAGAAACAGGCCGGGGGCGACAUGGCUGGCUACUGCCAAGCAGACAGGCGGAUCUACACCAGAGCCGAUCUGAGGGAACAAAUGCUCCCCUGGCUUCUCCAGGGGAAAAGGUUAACAUUAGAAAUUAAAAGGGCACUCCAUUCCUAAAUGCAGGAACACCCCCAGACUCCUGGCGACGCCACGUCCAGCCAGGAAGACGACCUCCCUGAAGAGUCCGAUCCGAGAUGUGCGACAUAUUCCUGAAACUAGACAAAGCCUCCAUCUGUCCGGGAGUACGAGAAAGCGCUGCCCAGAGUAUAGAAAGCAUGUUUGUGCCACAUGUAAAUUUCCAAUAAGUACUGUGCCAGUAAAGGGCCCUAAAUCUUCAGUGCUAUAUAUUUUUUUUAAGGAGGCUGUUGCAAAUUAUAGAUGGUACUUUAAUUUUAAACUCAUUUAAAGUCCAAGAGGUUCAGAUCUGCUGUGCAAUAGGUUGUAAUAGGUAAUAAAAGUUGUUUAUGUGCUGACAUUUCCAGUGUACAGUUCUUGUUAAUAUUCUUUUUAUAUAUAAAUAGUUGUACAGAUGAAUGCACAUAUAAAUAAAGCUACAUUUUGAUUGAAUUUCAUAUUGAUUUCCUUUUUUCUUUGUUGCUGUAC
rnacentral:lncRNA from 1 species